CACUAUAAAAAAUGCCCAAGGAUGGUAUUAGGCUAAAGGGGAAAGAGAUCAGCUUGAAACUUGGAUUUACAGAAAAGAACAUCAGAGAAGUUUAGGUCGGCCUUCAUAUCUCUCCGGUAAUCCACUGAACAGGAAGCCAUACAAAUGAAAACAGAGGGAAAAAGACGCUGGACACACUACUUCUAACUCUACCUCUUGGACCCAAUGAAGAUUGGUACAGCAGAAAAAGCAUUAGUCUAAGAAACAAGGAACCAAGAAACCAGGAAUACAACCUUUCAUUCUGGAUGGCAUUGUACCUCUUACCGUUCCUCCUCUCUGAAAUGUGGACACAGUAGCUAUUGCUCCAGAAGUCAGCUUGGAUCACAAGGUGAUCUUUGAAAAUGGAAGUGACACACUGAGGAUAUGAGAGCAGAGAGAAGAGAUCUGGGUCCUUGAUUUUUUUGUGAAGCAAUUGUGAAGCUGCCAUCUGAGCCCUGAACUGCCUACCUUCCAGACUUCUUCUGUGUGAAACUACUACAAAAAGAUAUCUAUCAGCAGAUGAAUUCAAUUAUUAACAAACAUGAAAUUUGGGACAUGAAGUGGGGUGACACAAAUAAUAGAACCUAAAAUAAGAUACUCUUAAAGCAGGAGUUGAUGAGGCAAACAAUAACUCUGAUAUUGCAGGCUGGAAAGCUAGUGACCUUAUUAAAGAAUGAAAAGGAUUUGGUCAAAUUUGGUCAUCUACAGAAGUUAGAAAGCAAACCAUAUACCAAAUGAAGCUAGAGCAAGGAGAGAAAUACAGGAAAAUUUUAGAAUGCUGGCAUGUGUUGGCUCCCUCCGGUCACUUAGAACAAAGUUGUAAGAGAAAUAAAAUAAACUUCGAUUAGAGUUGCAAGCAGAGAUGGAGAAAAUGCAGAUUUGCUAAGGGAGGUAACUCCCUAUGGCCUGCAAUUUAAACUAACACUCCCAUAAUUUAAAGCUUUGCAUAGCUGAAAAAACACCAACUGUUUCUGAAGAAGCAAAGUGAAGUAAUUGAAUGGUAGCUGCAAAACUGCAGCCUUGGCAAUAGAGAAGACUGGUGCCUUGCCACACAAAAGCAAUGAUGUAAGGGUGUUGUCUUUCCACCCACGAUUUCCACCACUGUUUCAAAUGGCCUCAUCAGAACCAUCAUUUCUUCAGAACCCAGAAGAGGUCAAUGAACUUGAACGGGGGAAAAAAUACUCUUCAUUUCCACUAACUUGUGACUGAAAUUUAGCAUCCCCUUGAAUUAUGAAGUCAGACAACAAAUCAUAGUAGCAUUAACAGUACUUGUGACUUCUGCCACCAAUAAAAAUAACAAAUAUAUUCCUAUCACAUGCAAAUAUUGCAGAAUCUCAACUAUUAAAGUCAACUACUUUAAAAUUA